UGACAUUAUAAUAGUUUCCUGUUCAACUUCAAAUGCGUGGACUCACAGCUAGCUGUCAUUAUGAAAUUAUGAACUAAAAAUGGUGCAUCCAAUUAUUCUAGGAACCAGAAUGUUAGUGACCUUGAUGUUUGCAUAAAGCAAUGCCCUUUAAAUUACCAUAACUGACCUGAGUUCUAGAAGAUUUGAUUGUAGUUUGUACUUUUUAUGGCACACAAUAACACUUAUGAUAUCGGUUGGUGGAAAGAGGAUCACUUUAAGGCUUUGGAUGUGGAUGGGGAUGGUCUUCUAAAUCUUACCGAGUUUAAUGAGUAAGUUUUCCAUUUUCUUAGCUUUUCAUGUUUCUCAAUGUUUGUUUUGCUCACUAAUUUCUUCUGCGUGUGUUUUUCUAGCUUCUUACACCCAGCUGAUACUGAUAACCAGAGGUUGCUUCAAUGGUUGUGAACAAAGGAAAUAAGGUUCAAUGUGUUUUUCUCUUUUUAUUAUUUUUUCUUUAGCUCUGUCAUCUUGGUAUCUUACCCCACCUAGAAGUAAUGGAACAGCCAUUUCUUAGUGUGUGACGGAAAAUGCUUUGUCAUAAUAGCCUUAUCCCAGCUAUUUGGGGUUAGCUUUACCAUUCCUGACCUUGUCUUUAUUGCUUGGCAAAAGUUUAACAACUAGUUGCUGUUGAAAGCAGGCCUACCUCACGAAUUCUGCUCCAUGUCUCAAUCAUUUGUUCAGAAGAUGGGGGAAAAGGACAAAGGUACUGCAGAAGAAGUCUAGAAACAUGCUCAAUUGCACAUCAAGUUUUGGUUUAUUUCCAGAAGCAUGCUAAAUGUGUUAUUUAUUUAUUUAUUUAUUUAUUUAUAUACAGGGUAAUGAUGAUUUGAUUAAAAAAGAGGAUUACAAAAAAUGAGGAUCAACCCGCUGAGAAAGCGAGAAGAUGAAUGUGGAAGAGAGCAAAGAGGUAGGUAAUAGUAGAGAAACUCACAGAAUCUCUAGAGGAAUUCAUGACAAGAUCAUCUACUUAAAAUGGAAACAGAGGAGGGUUUGAGGCACGAAUCAAGUUGUGUGUAACACUAUUUAUUGCUCAUGCUACUAGAAACAGAUUCACAUCCAUAUUCAUAACUUAGUUAAAGGGCAUGAUGGAGCAGAAUUCUAGUAGGUUCGCUUAUAGGAUUGUCCAUUUUAGCUUCAGAUGAUUUGAGCUGGAGGCGCACUCUUACUUUUUAUCUCUUAGCUAGGCUUGCAUAGGUACAUGCAAAGUUAUGAGAUUAUGUUGAGUGUGUUAUUCCGUCUUUAGAUACAUAAUGAUAUAUGUUUGACUCUUUUUUUUUCUUCUUCUUGGGCUUCUAUUCUAACACUUGAUGCAAUGUGCUUAUAAUUCUGCAUAGUCAAAGAAAAAGUUUCACCUUUGGGGAAGCCAUUGGAGACAUGGAGAUUCUUUACUAUUUGCUCUAGCAUGUAGCUAGGUGACCCAAAGCUUCAUGCUAAAUUACAGAUUUUUCAAAGCCAAAGUCUUUCAGGCUGUGCGUGGAUCAUAUAUAGUUAAAUGACUCCUAGGGCAAACCUAAGACAAUAGGAAACUGCAUGAUCGUUAUUGAUUUCCACCAUGAUUUUUCCGAUUCACCUAAAUCUCCACCAAUCUAGUCCAAAGAUGAGGGUGUGGGACUGAACCCAGUUUUGGUUUGGGGGCACCCACACAUGUUUUAUGAGUCCCUUUGGCUGUGGGAAUCCUAUUUCCACUGGGCAAAGAAGCAUUUUUUAGAAAGCUCACAAAGUUGGUGGGAAUGAUUUUUCUUCUCAUCAGAGAUUUACUUUAAAAAGUUCGAACCU